UCUCCGUUGGUGAACCAGCGGAGGGAUCAUUCCUGAGUUUACACUACUCAUAAACCAAAUGUCUAUCUUACCUUUUUGUUGCUUCGGUAGGCGGUCCCUCGGGAGGGGCCAUUUUGGGUGCCUACCGGAGGUUUUAACUAUUCAAACUCUUGUUUCCCUUUUAUAGGGCCUAUUUCUUCUGAGUUUUUACAAACUUUUAAUAAGUUAAAACUUUCAACAACGGAUCUCUUGGUUCUGGCAUCGAUGAAGAACGCAGC
rnacentral:misc_RNA from 1 species